AAUCUUGGACAAUGGGCGCAAGCCUGAUCCAGCCAUGCCGCGUGAGUGAUGAAGGCCUUAGGGUCGUAAAGCUCUUUCGCCAGAGAUGAUAAUGACAGUAUCUGGUAAAGAAACCCCGGCUAACUCCGUGCCAGCAGCCGCGGUAAUACGGAGGGGGUUAGCGUUGUUCGGAAUUACUGGGCGUAAAGCGCACGUAGGCGGAUCAGAAAGUAUAGGGUGAAAUCCCAGGGCUCAACCCUGGAACUGCCUUAUAAACUCCUGGUCUUGAGUUCGAGAGAGGUAAGUGGAAUUCCGAGUGUAGAGGUGAAAUUCGUAGAUAUUCGGAGGAACACCAGUGGCGAAGGCGGCUUACUGGCUCGAUACUGACGCUGAGGUGCGAAAGUGUGGGGAGCAAACAGGAUUAGAUACCCUGGUAGUCCACACCGUAAACGAUGAAUGCCAGACGUCAGCAAGCAUGCUUGUUGGUGUCACACUAACGGAUUAAGCAUUCCGC
rnacentral:rRNA from 1 species